rnacentral:rRNA from 1 species
AUUGAACGCUGGCGGCAUGCCUUACACAUGCAAGUCGAACGGCAGCACGGGAGCAAUCCUGGUGGCGAGUGGCGAACGGGUGAGUAAUGUAUCGGAACGUGCCCAGUCGUGGGGGAUAACGUAGCGAAAGCUACGCUAAUACCGCAUACGAUCUAUGGAUGAAAGCGGGGGAUCGCAAGACCUCGCGCGAUUGGAGCGGCCGAUAUCAGAUUAGGUAGUUGGUGAGGUAAAGGCUCACCAAGCCGACGAUCUGUAGCUGGUCUGAGAGGACGACCAGCCACACUGGGACUGAGACACGGCCCAGACUCCUACGGGAGGCAGCAGUGGGGAAUUUUGGACAAUGGGCGCAAGCCUGAUCCAGCAAUGCCGCGUGCAGGAUGAAGGCCUUCGGGUUGUAAACUGCUUUUGUACGGAGCGAAAAGGCUUCCACUAAUACUGGGGGCUCAUGACGGUACCGUAAGAAUAAGCACCGGCUAACUACGUGCCAGCAGCCGCCGCAGUAA